rnacentral:rRNA from 1 species
AUACGGAGGGCGCAAGCGUUGCCCGGAAUCACUGGGUGUAAAGGGUGCGUAGGCGGGGCUGUAAGUCAGAGGUGAAAGCCCUCGGCUCAACCGGGGAAUUGCCUCUGAUACUGCAGCUCUUGAGUCCCGGAGAGGCCGCUGGAAUUCCUGGUGUAGCGGUGAAAUGCGUAGAUAUCAGGAGGAACACCGGAGGCGAAGGCGGGCGGCUGGACGGGGACUGACGCUGAGGCACGAAAGCGUGGGGAGCAAACAGUAUUAGAAACCCUAGUAGUCC